ACAAAAAGGCUGACCUGAGUAAAACCAAAGACAAACUGGUAGUUGUCGAAGAAAAGAAACUUGUGGAGACCAACUUCAGUGAUGUAACACCUUUGAAAUUUCUCCAAACCAACACUUCCUCUGAGAGGGAAGAUCAAGACAACAUGGAAGAAGAGGUUGAGGAAGCAUCGUCUGACGAUGAGGAAUAUGAAUAUGAGCUAAAAUACUCAGCAACAACAGCUACAUACACACAAGAAAAUGAGGGUGAGAUGACAACUCCGAUUACACAGUCUUUAGAGGAGAUUACACUGAAAAUUUACAUUUUGGGUGAACUAUACCUUUGAAAUGUUUACAUUUAUGAAGUCAACUCAACAAUGCCUUUAAAAGACAAUUCUUGAACAAGGCAACUGAGGCACAGUGGGACAUGGAGGAAGAGGAUGGUGUGACUGAGACCAAGGAAUACAGUUCAGGUGAUGGUGAUGAAGAGACAGACAGUGAGGAGAUAGAGGAAGAGCUAGAGAGGGAGAGAGAGAGACAGGAGAUGGAAAAAGAAAGGACUGAACUGGAACGAGAAAGAGAAUUAGAACUGGAGAGGAAAGAGAGCUAGAGAGGGAGACAGAGAUGGAGCAAGAGGUAAGUAUGUGCUGUAAAAUCUAUAGUUUCCAUUUCCAUUUCAUAUUCAACAUGGUCUCAGACUUUUGGGCCCCAAUGUAUUUACUGUGAUUAUAUUAUAAUUAUAUAAAAUCUAUUUAAAUAGAUAUAGGAUAACUUUCUUUUAUCAUAAUAGACACAAAUAUAUAAAAACCUAUUCAAUGGUUAUUUUAAUGCUUAAAAUUAGAUUUUGAAUCCCAGAUUUUCAGUGUGGUCUUUACAUCUGUAAAUAAACAAAUUGUGCAUUGUAUGUGCAUUUUUCCUUUCUUGUACAGGGACCUCCAGGUGAAAAUGGAAAACCAGGCCCUAAGGGUCCUAAAGGCAUGACGGGUAUGAAAGGAGAAAAGGGUGAACGUGGGCUUCCAGGAUUUGAUGGAGAUAAAGGAGAGAAGAGGAAAGAUGGUCCACCUGGUGCAAAGGGGCUGAAGGGUGAGGCUGGUACUAAAGGAGGCAUGGGGCCUUAUGGCACACACGGACCAGUAGGACACACUUUAUUCAUGGUCAUAGACUCAUUGGUUUGUGUGUUCAGGGUGAGACAGGAGAGCAUGGUUUACCUGGAGAUACAGGAAUUAAAGGUGAGAAGGCUUCAGAGGUUUCCCAGGUCGAAUAGGAAGUCCGGGACUGGAUGGAGAACAGGGUACAGCCGGUUUCACAGGGUUUAAGGGAUCUCCUGGUGCACCAGGAGCUAAUGGGGCUCUGGGUCAGCCUGGUCCGGUUGGACCUAAAGGUGAAGUGGGACCAAAGGAAAGUAGAUACUCCUGAUGGUGAACACCAAUGAUCCAGAUGAUGGGAGUAUCCUAAAGGAAGAGAGAAGAACAGAUUCUGAUUCUCCGUUCUUGCUCACCCACCCCAAAGUGUGGGAUGAAGAGUUAGAGGACGAGACCACUACAGUUCAUCCUGCUGUUUCAGAGUCUGAGCCAACAUUAGCAUAUGGCAAUGAUACAAGAGCCACUACUGAGGGAGAUGGAGAGCAGGAAGAAAAGAGACGUGCACUCAAACACCACUCAGGAGAAUGCCAUCCUUUUGUGUAUGAUGGCAGUAGAGGAAAUAGGAACCGCUUCAGCUCCAAACGGGACUGUGAGAGUCAAUGUAUUCUGGGGAGGAGAGGUAAAGUGCCAAUCAGAAUGCAGACUUCAGGUUCAGAGAUUCUGGAUACUGGGGAGAAAUGACUAUUUUUAACAGCUAAACUGCAAUUUAUCUGACUAAAAAUGCUAUUUUUAUCCAUCCUAUAUUUAUAUUAGUUUAUCGCAGCUUUAGAUUUAGAUUCUAUAUCAUAUUUACAUUUCACUUCUAUAGCACCACACAUUGUUGCACUUGUAGUGAUACAUGCUUACCUAUGAAUUUCUUACAAAUAUGCCAUGUUUUUAUUUAAAAAUGUUCUUAAUGUCACUGUUUUUAAACUAGUAUGUGAGACAAUUAAAACAAUAAAAUGAAUAUAUUUUUGAAUGAGCUAUAUAGCUUGCUGCUAUAUAUGGGUGUGUGCGUGAGAACAUUUUCACAUCGUGACCUCUGAUUUUGGACCAUGUUCUCUGAGCUUGGACCUGUGGUGUAUAUAAAUGUUACCAUAUUGGCUUUUCCUCUGAAAUGCUUGUCGAGUCGUGUCUGGACGGUGUCUCCUGGGGACAGGCGGAGAAAGUGUGUGUAUGUGUGUGUUCUUUAAGCAAAAAGACUAGCUGCAUUUGUGGGUGGCUGAUAUGUGCACAUUUGUGAACGUAUGUGUUUCCUUCCUCAUUAUUUUUAC